AGGGUCAUAGCUUAGCUGGGAGAGCGCCUGCCUUACAAGCAGGAGGUCGUCGGUUCAAUCCCGACUGACCCUA
rnacentral:tRNA from 1 species